rnacentral:rRNA from 2 species
GGCGUUAAGUUGCAGGGUAUAGACCCGAAACCCGGUGAUCUAGCCAUGGGCAGGUUGAAGGUUGGGUAACACUAACUGGAGGACCGAACCGACUAAUGUUGAAAAAUUAGCGGAUGACCUGUGGCUGGGGGUGAAAGGCCAAUCAAACCGGGAGAUAGCUGGUUCUCCCCGAAAGCUAUUUAGGUAGCGCCUCGUGAAUUCAUCUCCGGGGGUAGAGCACUGUUUCGGCUAGGGGGCCAUCCCGGCUUACCAACCCGAUGCAAACUGCGAAUACCGGAGAAUGUUAUCACGGGAGACACACGGCGGGUGCUAACGUCCGUCGUGAAGAGGGAAACAACCCAGACCGCCAGCUAAGGUCCCAAAGUCAUGGUUAAGUGGGAAACGAUGUGGGAAGGCCCAGACAGCCAGGAUGUUGGCUUAGAAGCAGCCAUCAUUUAAAGAAAGCGUAAUAGCUCACUGGUCGAGUCGGCCUGCGCGGAAGAUGUAACGGGGCUAAACCAUGCACCGAAGCUGCGGCAGCGACGCUGAUGCGUUGUUGGGUAGGGGAGCGUUCUGUAAGCCUGCGAAGGUGGCCUGUGAGGGUUGCUGGAGGUAUCAGAAGUGCGAAUGCUGACAUAAGUAACGAUAAAGCGGGUGAAAAGCCCGCUCGCCGGAAGACCAAGGGUUCCUGUCCAACGUUAAUCGGGGCAGGGUGAGUCGACCCCUAAGGCGAGGCCGAAAGGCGUAGUCGAUGGGAAACGGGUUAAUAUUCCCGUACUUGGUGUUACUGCGAAGGGGGGACGGAGAAGGCUAUGUUGGCCGGGCGACGGUUGUCCCGGUUUAAGCGUGUAGGUGUGUGUUCCAGGUAAAUCCGGUUCACUUUAACACUGAGGCGUGACGACGAGGCACUACGGUGCUGAAGCAACAAAUGCCCUGCUUCCAGGAAAAGCCUCUAAGCAUCAGGUAACAUCAAAUCGUACCCCAAACCGACACAGGUGGUCAGGUAGAGAAUACCAAGGCGCUUGAGAGAACUCGGGUGAAGGAACUAGGCAAAAUGGUGCCGUAACUUCGGGAGAAGGCACGCUGACACGUAGGUGAAGUGAUUUACUCAUGGAGCUGAAGUCAGUCGAAGAUACCAGCUGGCUGCAACUGUUUAUUAAAAACACAGCACUGUGCAAACACGAAAGUGGACGUAUACGGUGUGACGCCUGCCCGGUGCCGGAAGGUUAAUUGAUGGGGUCAGCGCAAGCGAAGCUCCUGAUCGAAGCCCCGGUAAACGGCGGCCGUAACUAUAACGGUCCUAAGGUAGCGAAAUUCCUUGUCGGGUAAGUUCCGACCUGCACGAAUGGCGUAAUGAUGGCCAGGCUGUCUCCACCCGAGACUCAGUGAAAUUGAACUCGCUGUGAAGAUGCAGUGUACCCGCGGCAAGACGGAAAGACCCCGUGAACCUUUACUAUAGCUUGACACUGAACAUUGAGCCUUGAUGUGUAG